GGUGCCAGCCGCCGCGGUAACACCGGCGGCUCGAGUGGUAACCGCUAUUAUUUGGUCUAAAGGGUCUGUAGCCGGCUUAGUCAGUCUUUUGAGAAAUCUGGCCGCUCAACGGUCAGGCGUUCAGGGGAUACUGCUAAAGCUCGAGACCGGGAGAGGUGAGAGGUACUUCAGGGGUAGGGGUGAAAUCUUGUAAUCCUUGAAGGACCACCAGUGGCGAAGGCGUCUCACCAGAACGGAUCUGACGGCAAGGGACGAAAGCUAGGGGCACGAACCGGAUUAGAUACCCGGGUAGUCCUAGCCGUAAACGAUACUCGCUAGGUGUCGGCCACGGUGCGACCGUGGUCGGUGCCGUAGGGAAGCCGUGAAGCGAGCCACCUGGGAAGUACGGCCGCAAGGCUGAAACUUAAAGGAAUUGGCGGGGG
rnacentral:rRNA from 1 species